GUCAAAUACUUCAGUAGCUACUACAGUAACUGAAUGGGCUUCUGAUCCAGUUUCUCUUUGUGUUGGACUCCUACAUCCAGAUCCUCCUCACGUCAGGAGAAGACACAGUAUGGAGAGAUAUGAACAAAACAUGGGAGGAGAGACUCCUGUAGAUGUGGGAGGAGAGAGUCCUGGUGGUUCCAGUGUAGCCGUCUGAAGGAGAGAAGAGGAGGAGGCUGGUGUGGUGGAAAAUAUGUGAACAGAAAAACUCAUAAACCAAUGUAUAAUAACCAGGGCUGGGCACGUUAACACGUUAUUAUUGCGUUAAAGUAACACUAUGCAACAAUUUGACACUUUAUGAGGUAUGCCUUUAUAGGCAACUAGUUUUGGUA